rnacentral:rRNA from 1 species
GGCCUACCAUGGUGGUAACGGGUAACGGGGUGUUAGGGCACGACACCGGAGAGGGAGCCUGAGAAACGGCUACCACAUCCAAGGAUGGCAGCAGGCGCGCAAAUUACCCAAUCCCGACACGGGGAGGUAGUGACAAUAAAUAACAAUACAGGGCCUUUCAGGUCUUGUAAUUGGAAUGAGUACAAUUUAAAUCUCUUAACGAGGAACAAUUGGAGGGCAAGUCUGGUGCCAGCAGCCGCGGUAAUUCCAGCUCCAAUAGCGUAUAUUAAAGUUGUUGCAGUUAAAAAGCUCGUAGUUGAAUUUUAGGCCUGGCCGGGCGGUCCGUCUUUGGCGAGUACUGUCUGCUGUCGGGUCUUCCUUCUGGUAAACCAGCAUGUCCUUUGUUGGGUGUGUUGGGGAGCCAGGACCAUUACCUUGAAAAAAUUAGAGUGUUUAAAGCGGGCUAUUGCUUGAAUAGAUUAGCAUGGAAUAAUAGAAUAGGACGUUGUGGUUCUAUUUUGUUGGUUUCUAGGACCACCGUAAUGAUUAAUAGGGAUAGUUGGGGGCAUUAGUAUUCAAUUGUCAGAGGUGAAAUUCUUGGAUUUAUUGAAGACUAACUACUGCGAAAGCAUUUGCCAAGGAUGUUUUCAUUAAUCAAGAACGAAAGUUAGGGGAUCGAAGACGAUCAGAUACCGUCGUAGUCUUAACCAUAAACUAUGCCGACUAGGGAUCGGAUGAUGUUAAUUUUUUAAUGACUCAUUCGGCGCCUUACG